AGUUUGAUCAUGGCUCAGAUUGAACGCUGGCGGGAUGCUUUACACAUGCAAGUCGAACGGCAGCACGGACUUCCGGUCUGGUGGCGAGUGGCGAACGGGUGAGUAAUGUAUCCGGAACGUGCCUAGUAGCGGGGGAUAACUACGCGAAAGCGUAGCUAAUACCGCAUACGCCCUUCGGGGAAAGCGGGGGACCUUCGGGCCUCGCACUAUUAGAGCGGCGAUAUCGGAUUAGCUAGUUGGUGGGGUAACGGCUCACCAAGGCGACGAUCCGUAGCUGGUUUGAGAGGACGACCAGCCACACUGGGACUGAGACACGGCCCGAACU
rnacentral:misc_RNA from 1 species